CCUACGGGUGGCAGCAGUGAGGAAUAUUGGUCAAUGGGCGCGAGCCUGAACCAGCCAAGUCACGUGAGGGAAGACGGUCCUAUGGAUUGUAAACCUCUUUUGUCGGGGAGCAAAAUACGCCACGCGUGGCUUUCCGUGCGUACCCGACGAACAAGCUUCGGCUAAGCCCGUGCCAUCAGCCCCGGUAAUACGGGGGGUGCGAGGGUUCUCCGGAUGUAUUGGGUUUAAGGGGUGCGCAGGCGGAAGAUCAAGUCAGCGGUAAAAUGGAGGGUCUCAACCUCGCAGAGCCGAUGCAACUGGUGUGAUUGAGUGAGUGAGAAGUAGGCGGAAGGCGUGGUGUAGCGGUGAAAUGCAUAGAUAGCACGAAGAACACCGAUUGCGAAGGCAGCAUACCGGGGCGCAACUGACGCUCAUGCACGAAAGUGUGGGUAUCGAACAGGAUUAGAUACCCGAGUAGUC
rnacentral:rRNA from 1 species